UAGUCCACGCCGUAAACGAUGUCUACUUGGAGGUUGUGGCCUUGAGCCGUGGCUUUCGGAGCUAACGCGUUAAGUAGACCGCCUGGGGAGUACGGUCGCAAGAUUAAAACUCAAAUGAAUUGACGGGGCCCGCACAAGCGGUGGAGCAUGUGGUUUAAUUCGAUGCAACGCGAAGAACCUUACCUACUCUUGACAUCCAGAGAACUUUCCAGAGAUAGAUUGGUGCCUUCGGGAACUCUGAGACAGGUGCUGCAUGGCUGUCGUCAGCUCGUGUUGUGAAAUGUUGGGUUAAGUCCCGCAACGAGCGCAACCCUUAUCCUUGUUUGCCAGCGAGUAAUGUCGGGAACUCCAGGGAGACUGCCGGCGAUAAACCGGGNGGAAGGUGGGGACGACGUCAAGUCAUCAUGGGCCCUUACGAGUAGGGGCUACACACGUGCUACAAUGGGCGCGAGGUACGAC
rnacentral:rRNA from 1 species